AUGGCUUUCGGCGAAAAGGCAAACAUUGUUGCAAGUGGCACAAUAGUUGAGAUUAAUGUGCCAAACCAGUUGGUUCAUAAUGUUCCUUUGGAAAAGGGGAACAUAAGAGUAGCUGUGAAUUGUGCACUAAAGGGAGAUGCUCCACUACCAAUCUCUGUGAAAGGAAUAUAUAACCGAGUAGAGCAAGAGCAGAAGAAAAACAUGAUCAAGGUCGGAAAGAGGAACUCUGCCCUGCAGAUUUUGUCAUUGCUACUUGUCUUCCUAAUUCACUGCCAAGCAUCAACCCAUUAUAAUUUUGUGGUGAAAGAAGCUACAUACACAAGGCUUUGCAGCACCAAGAAAAUCUUGACAGUAAAUGGAAAAUUUCCUGGACCAGUUUUACAGGCUCAUGAAGGUGAUACAAUCUAGGGCAGCCACAACAUCACCAUUCACCGGCAUGGAGUGAAGCCACCUAGGAAUCCAUGGUCAGAUGGUCCUGAAUACAUCACGCAAUGUCCAAUUCAACCUGGGGACCAAUUCACGCAAACGAUUAUAUUUUUAGAAAAGUUGAUAGAGGAAGGAACGAUCUGGUGGCACGCACACAAUGACUGGGAUCGAGCCACAGUUCAUGGCGCAAUCUUUGUGUAUCCAAAACGUGGAGCUAGCUAUCCUUUUCCCAAGCCUCAUGAACAAGUGCAAAUAAUAUUCGGUCAGUGGUGGAGGAGAGAUGUUAUGGAGGUAUUGGAGGAAUUCAUUAGAACUGGAGGAGCUCCGAAUGUUUCCGAUGCUCACACGAUCAAUGGUCAGCCGGGAGACCUCUAUCCUUGCUCAAAAUCCGAGACAUAGACAUUCAAGCUCCUUGUGGAUCAAAACAAGACCUAUCUACUCCGUAUAGUAAACGCCGCAAUGAACACCAUUUUCUUCUACUCAAUUGCAAACCAUAACCUCACAGUGGUGGGAGUAGAUGGAAGAUACACAAAGCCGGUGACAAUAGAUUACAUGAUAAUUUCACCCGGAGAAACCAUAGAUGCCUUGUUAAUCACCAACCAGCAAGUUGGUCAAUAUUACAUGGCUGCUAGGGCUUACUCAAGCACUCCUCUUAUUCCCUUCGACAACACCACAAGCACAGCAAUAGUAGAAUAUAAAAAUAUUGGGAAUAAUUUUACUCCAUUUUCUUCAACACCUCCAUUGCCUACCUUCCUUAUUAUAAUGACACAAAUGCUUUCUUUGAUAGCCUUAAAAGCCUAGCUAAUGAACACCACCCAAUUGAUGUCCCAAUAAAGAUUACCAAUAGAUUAGUCUCCACAGUUUCAAUCAACACAUUCUCAUGCCCAAACAAUUCAUGUGCAGGACCAAACGGGACCCGCCUCGCUGCUAGCAUGAACAAUAUAAGCUUCGUAAGCCCUACAACAAUAGACAUUCUAGAAGCCUAUUAUUACCAUAUUCAUGGGAUUUAUAAAAUGGGUUUCCUAGAUUUUCCACCUCCGGUAUUUAAUUUUACAGGGGAAAACCUACCCCUCUUUUUACAAGUUCCAAAGAGAGGGACAAAGGUGAGGGUUUUCAAAUAUGGGUCAAUUGUGGAACUUGUUUUUCAAGGGACAAACUUGGGUGCACCAAUCAUCCAAUACAUUUGCAUGGGUUUAGCUUCUACAUUGUUGGAUUGGGGUUUGGGAAUUUUGCCAAUGAUAAGGACCCAUUAAACUAUAAUCUCAUUGAUCCUCCUCUUAGGAACACUUUCACUGUUGCCCUAAGUGGCUGGGCCGCCAUCAGAUUCCAUGCCGACAAUCGGGGAGUAUAGUUUUUGCACUGCCAUUUGGAGCGUCACCUAACUUGGGGAAUGAAUUCAUUGUAAAGAACGGAAAAAACAAGAAGGAAAGGUUGCUGCCUCCGCCACCAAGAAUGCCAUUAAUUAAGACUUUGUCCGAAAUUGGCUUCGUGAAAGAAGCUACAUAUACAAGGUUGUGCAGUACCAAGGAAAUAUUGACAGUAAAUGGAAAAUUUCCUGGACCAGUUUUACAAGCUCAUAAAGGUGAUACAAUCUAUGUCAAUGUCCACAACAACGGCAGAUACAACAUCACUAUCCACUGGCAUGGAGUAAAGCAACCGAGGUAUCCAUGGUCAGAUGGUCCUGAAUACAUCACACAAUGUCCAAUUCAGCCUGGGCAUAAAUUCAAGCAAAAGAUUAUAUUUUCGGAAGAAGAAGGAACCAUCUGGUGGCAUGCACAUAGUGACUGGUCUCGAGCCACAGUUUACGGAGCAAUUAUUGUCUAUCCAAAACGUGGAGCUAGCUAUCCAUUUCCCCAGCCUCAUGAAGAAGUACCAAUUAUAUUAGGUCAGUGGUGGAAAAGGGACGUAAUGGAGGUAUUUGAAGAAUUUGUUCGAACCGGAGGAGAUCCUAAUGUUUCUGAUGCUCACACCAUCAAUGGUCAGCCUGGUGACCUCUAUCCAUGCUCAAAAUCAGCAACAUUCAAACUCUUUGUGGACGAAAACAAGACCUAUCUGCUCCGGAUAGUAAACGCUGCAAUGAACAGCAUUCUCUUCUUCUCAAUCGCAAACCAUAACCUCACAGUGGUGGGAGCAGAUGGGAGCUACACAAAGCCAGUGACAAGAGAUUGCAUCACAAUAUCACCGGGACAAACCCUAGAUGCCUUGCUGCUCACAAACCAACAAGUUGGCCAAUAUUACAUGGCCGCUAGGGCUUACUCAAGCAGUCCUGCUGUUGCUUUUGACAACACCACAACCACAGCAAUAGUACAAUACAACAAUAGAAAUUCCACUCCAUUUUCAAGCCCUCCAAUAUUACCUUACCUUCCUUACUAUAAUGAUACAAAUGCAGCCUUCAAUUUCUUUGAUAGCCUUAGAAGCCUAGCCAAUGAAGACCACCCAAUUGAUGUCCCAAAAAACAUCACCACAAGAUUAAUCUCAACAGUAUCAGUCAACACAUUUCCCUGCCCAAAUAAUUCUUGUGAAGGACCGAAUGGGACCCGCCUAGCUGCCAGCAUGAACAACAUAAGUUUUGUGGACCCCACAACAAUUGACAUCCUAGAAGCGUAUUAUUAUCAUAUUAAUGGGGUGUUUAGAGAAGGUUUCCCAGAUUUUCCACCGCUGGUGUAUAAUUUUACAGGUGAAGAUCUGCCAUUGAUUUUACAAACACCAAAGAGAGGGACAAAGGUGAAGGUUUUCGAUUAUGGGUCAAUUGUGGAAUGUAUUUUUCAAGGCACGAACUUGGUUGCUGGGAUUGAUCAUCCAAUGCAUUUGCAUGGGUUUAGCUUCUAUAUUGUUGGAAGAGGGUUUGGGAAUUUUGACCAAGACAAGGACCCCUUAAACUACAAUCUCGUUGACCCUCCUCAUAGGAACACCGUGACUGUGCCUAUAAGUGGCUGGACCGCCAUCAGAUUCAAAGCCAACAAUCCGGGAGUAUGGUUCUUGCACUGCCAUUUGGAGCGUCACCUAACAUGGGGAAUGAACACCGUUUUCAUUGUAAAGAACGGAAAACACAAGGAGGAAAAGCUGCUGCCCGCACCACAAGAAAUGCCACCAUGCUAAGAAUUUGAC